rnacentral:rRNA from 1 species
UGGGCUCGAGUGCCGGUCUACCACCGCUGUUGUUCAAGUCCUUUGUUGUCCGACCUUCUGGCCUCCGGGGCGACCCUGCCUUCGGGCGGGGGCUCCGGGUGGACACUUCAAACUCUUGCCUAACUUUGCAUUCUGAAUAAACUUAAUUAAUAAAUUAAAACUUUUAACAACGGAUCUCUUGGUUCUGGAAUCCAUGAAAAACGCAACGAAAUGCGAUAAGUAAUGUGAAUUGCAUAAUUCAAUGAAUCAUCGAAUCUUUGAACCCACAUUGCGCCCCCUGGUAUUCCGGGGGGCAUGCCUGUUCGAGCGUCAUUUCACCACUCAAGCCUCGCUUGGUAUUGGGCAACGCGGUCCGCCGCGUGCCUCAAAUCGACCGGUUGGGUCUUCUGUCCCCUAAGCGUUGUGGAAACUAUUCCCUAAAGGGUGCUCGGGAGGCUACGCCUUAAAACAAACCCAUUUCUAAGGUUGACCUCGGAUCAGGUAGGGAUACCCGCUGAACUAAAGCAUAUCAAUAAGCGGGAGGAA